UGCCUUAGUAACUGCGAGUGAAGCGGCAAGAGCUCAAAUUUGAAAUCUGGCGCCUUUGGCGUCCGAGUUGUAAUUUGGAGAGGCAUCUUCGGGGUCGGCGCCGGCCUAAGUUCCUUGGAACAGGACGUCAUAGAGGGUGAGAAUCCCGUUCUCGGCUGGCUGUCCGUCCUCAUGUGAAGUGUCUUCGACGAGUCGAGUUGUUUGGGAAUGCAGCUCAAAAUGGGUGGUAAACUCCAUCUAAAGCUAAAUACUGGCGAGAGACCGAUAGCGCACAAGUAGAGUGAUCGAAAGAUGAAAAGCACUUUGAAAAGAGAGUUAAAAAGUACGUGAAAUUGUUGAAAGGGAAGCGCUUGAGACCAGACUCGGCGUGAGGUAUUCAUCGUCCCUUCUGGGGCGUGCACUUGCCUCUCGUCGGGCCAGCAUCGGUUGCGGCGGCGGGAUAAAGACCCGGGGAAUGUGGCUGCUCUCGGGCAGUGUUAUAGCCCCGGGUGCCAUGCCGCCUGCUGCGACCGAGGACCGCGC
rnacentral:rRNA from 1 species